UACGUAGGGUGCGAGCGUUGUCCGGAAUUAUUGGGCGUAAAGAGCUUGUAGGCGGUUUGUCGCGUCUGCUGUGAAAAUCCGGGGCUCAACCCCGGACUUGCAGUGGGUACGGGCAGACUAGAGUGUGGUAGGGGGAGACUGGAAUUCCUGGUGUAGCGGUGGAAUGCACAGAUAUCAGGAGGAACGACCGGUGGCGAAGGC
rnacentral:rRNA from 1 species